AUUGAACGCUGGCGGCCGGCCUAACACAUGCAAGUCGAGCGGAGCGGCGGACGGGUGAGUAAUGCCUAGGAAUCUGCCUGGUAGUGGGGGAUAACGUCCGGAAACGGGCGCUAAUACCGCAUACUAUCAGAUGAGCCCAGAUGGUCUUAGCUCGUAGGUGGGGUAACGGCGCACCUAGGCGACGAUACAUAGCUGGUCUGAGAGGAUGACCAGCCACACUGGAACUGAGACACGGUCAAGACUCCUACGGGAGGCAGCAGUGGGGAAUAUUGCACAAGAGGCGCAAGCCUGAUGCAGCCAUGCCGCGUGUGUGAAGAAGGCCUUCGGGGUGUAAAGCACUUUCAGCGGGGAGGCGUUACCCGCAGAAGAAGCACCGGCUAACUCCGUGCCAGCAGCCGCGGUAAUAC
rnacentral:rRNA from 1 species